rnacentral:rRNA from 1 species
CAAACCAAAGCUGGCGACCGGCGCACGGGUGAGUAACACGUAUCCAACCUGCCUCAUACUCGGGGAUAGCCUUUCGAAAGAAAGAUUAAUAUCCGAUAGCAUAUAUUUCCCGCAUGGGUUUUAUAUUAAAGAAACUCGGUAUGAGAUGGGGAUGCGUUCCAUUAGUUUGUUGGGGGGGUAACGGCCCACCAAGACUACGAUGGAUAGGGGUUCUGAGAGGAGGGUCCCCCACAUUGGAACUGAGACACGGUCCAA